AAGUACUAGCAAGUAGUACAAACUGUAAUCCUGUAUUAAUCCUUAAUAGAUUAUAGGUCUUCCAAGGUCAGCAAUGGAGGUUUAAAAACAGACUCUUCAAACUUCAGCUGUUCCCUCCUGGAUCUCCUAAGUGUGCAGGAAUACACAGCACACACGAGGCUCCAUCCAGCCCUGAGCCGGGCUCCUCACCUUCAUCCUGGCUUCAGAUUCACAGCAAGAGCAGGGGAAGAUGGGCAGGUUCCCACAGCUGCAGCUCUGGAUCCUACAUCCUGUAGCUCGGUCUCACCCAGCUCCUCAUGUGGCUGGGAGAGCACUGUCAUGUCUGGGCCGCUCUAGCUAGUCCCUGCCACUCUCUUGUUUUUCUCUUUUGAUUCUUUCAGUCACCUGUAAUUUUCCCUCCACUUCAGUUGUAGUCCCCAGAAUCAUUUGUUUCCCUUCAUUUUUCUUUCCAAGGCUAUUUUAGGGUUUGGUUGCUCUAGAAUCUGGGGGAAAAUCAGUAAGAUUUUUUGUUUCUGCUUGAUUUGUGACAGGAAACAUGACUACAUUGCAUUAUUUUUUUUUUUAAGUUAUUCCUAGUUCUUUGUAACUUCCACACCAUUGAGCUGUGGUUAGUUUUUGCUUAGUUUUUCUUGUAUGUGUAUUGUAGCUAAAUUCUUGCAUGUUUAGCUGAAAGAAAAAAAAUAAAGCAGGCUUUAUAAUGAUAUUUUUUCCACCUGUUCUCUAAAAUACUAAUUUUUGCACGUGUACAUUUGCUGUUCCCACAUUUCUGUGCUUGUAAAUAAGUUAUGAUCACCAAAGGAAUAUUUCUGUUCCUAACAAAAAGUACCUUGCUGUCUUGCUGUCUGAUAUAAAUUAUUUAUUGUUUUCCAUGUCAUCUGCUCUUGAUCAGAGAAACUUGUCUUCUUAAUUCUUACAAUAGCUGUUGUCCCCUUGUUCCCGAGGUGCUUUCCGCCGGGGGCUAGUGAUCUACCCUCACUAGGGCCAUCGCAACACAGACACCAAUAUGAGGAUGCAGCAAAUGGCGUUUAUCGGAGCGAAUUUUCACCUUCUCCUGAUGGUUUUCUGAUUUUCUUGAGGUAUGUUGACUCUGUCCUAUUGAGGCGGGUGGAAAAAAUGAUGGCUGUGGCAGAAAGGACAAGCUUCUUUCAAGUCUUUUUUUGAAAAAGGGGGCUCUGGAAAACAUGACCGUCUUUGACAGUCUUAAAAACACUGCAAACUCUUCUACUUCGUGAGCACUAGCAAAAACAAUCCCAGCUGCCCCAGCAGCUCUGGAAGAGGCUGGCAGAAACACAUGCUGUCUGAAAGCAGGCCUACCACAUCUGGAUAGGAAGACAGGCGAUCAAGUGACAUCUACGUUAAGUGUAGCAAUUUUCACAACAAGGAUUCUGUUGUGCUUGAAGCCUUAUCCUUUCUGGAUGAGGUGAGGACUCUGCAGAGCGUACUGAGAGGAACAUCAUAAAGAUUCUUAAGGAAUCUGCACUCCUAGUGCAUAUGCUACAUUGAGAACAUUUUUUGGAUCCUCAUACUGUCUGGAAAGUUUUACAAAACAGGAGACUGAUUUCAGAAAACAGUUGCUUGAGAAAAAGUGAAUAGUAUGGUUUAAUUUAAAUCCUUUCCUUCCUGUCUUCAUCAACUGCUGUAGUUUGUGAAGUGGAGACAAAUGGUUUAAUUCCAGGUGCCUGUUGGAAUAAUCUUUAACACACUGAAGGAGGAAGAAACAAACCUAACAGAAACCCUAAGAGCAACUGCAGUGCAUUACUACACAUCUCAUCCUCUGCCAAAGGAGCAACUCUUACAGACUUAGGCAGAAUGCCAGCUCUUGCUGUGUGGCUCCUCUCUUGCAGUGACUGAAAACCUCUAACUGUAACAAAGGCAUACUUUCCUGGGGUGUGGUUGUCCAAGGAGUGUAAUCUACCAUCUACUUUGCAACAUGCUAGCUUAUACUUCUUACUAAGUUGAUGCACUUUUACCUUCAAAUCUGAAAUGCUUAUAGAAAUAUCUUGCAUGCAACUUCUGAUGUAACUAGCAUGGUAACUAACUCAGUAAGUGAAAGACAUUUAAAUCCAACUUUUAAGCAUGAAGUCAGAAGCAUUAAAGCACCUGCAUUUGACACACAAGUAGACUUACGUAACUGUUUAAGUCAGUCUGGUUUUCCAGAGGACAAGAAGAAAAUUCAAAGAUAAAUGAGACAUUUGCAGGAAAAUCAGUGAAGCAGCCUUCAGUGUACAGAUUUAAAUGGAGUUAUUUCUUAUGAUUUUUCAUACCAUUCUACUUUUGUGAGGAAAAACUUUUGAAAUUCAUUGAGACUAGAGUCAAAUCAGAGAUCAUCAAGCACAGUUCCUACUGACAGAGGAAGGAAGGUGUAAGAUCAUCACCAUCCAGAAGAAGGAUACAGUUUCAUAUACAUGUAUUUCAAGACUCAUCAUUCCUGUACUUCAUAGCAGACAUGAUGAGCUCUCCACCUAGAUUCUGGAUUUCUGCUUUAACUUGACUGCAGAUUUUGAGCUGAUGGGAGUACAACUUGAUCUGUUCUAGUUAACUCUGAUAAACAGCAUUUUAAAUGAUACAUCACAGUGUGAGUGCCAUUCUUACUGGGAUCAUAAUGGAGCAGCAACUCCUGCUGCUGAACAGAUUAUUAUUGAGGAGCCUUGUAGUAAAGAUCUUCAUCUGCAGCAUAUGUCAUUAAAAACAGGAGGAAGAAGAUCUUAGAAAAAUUAGAAGUGAAGAACAACAUAACAGAGAUGCUGUUGUGGCUGAUCAUUUGAUAAAAUACUGCCAAUAGAUGUUCAGGUCCUGCAGCUGCUCCAAGCAUUACGAGAGACCCUGCUGUCUCUCCAGCCCUCACAAUGAGCCCUGCAGUUGCUCCUCCUAUGGGUCUUGGAGCUGUUCCAAGUAUUGCAACAAGAAAAAAAAAAUCCUCCCAAGAGAGUUGCAGUAGGACAACACCAUACCCCUUUUGCAGGUCAGCAGCAGUAUGAAUUUUCUCCUUUACAAAGUUUUCCAUCUUUUUAUGUCUUCUAUGAGAGAAAUUCUAAUUUCUCAGUUGUGGUGCUCAUUAACUUUUCUUUUUUAAGUAGCCUGUUUUCCCCCUGCUUCCAGUCUCUGCAAUGUUCAGAGUCAAAUUUCAUCUCAAACACCCAUUUACAGCAUUUUCUGAAAAUCUUUCCCUUUUUUUUUUUUCUUUCCCUGAUUGGGUUCAGAGCCUACACUGGACUCUGAAUGCCUGUAUUUGAUUAAUUGUGUGGAAGACCUAUUUAUUUCCUCACAUAUUACUAUUUACAAGCACUAAAGCUGUAUUAGCUAAGUUUACAACACAACCAGGGCUAUGAAAACAAAGAUGAGAGACAAAGUACCAUAUUUAUGAGCAAUUACAUGCCCCCAAGGUAGUGAUGGAUUGUUAUUAGAUCACUUAAAUCAAUCAUUCUAUCCAAUGAGGAGACUGGGAGUAGCCCACAAAUAAUUAGAGAGUGAAGUCUAGCUAUGUCUAACUAGGAAUUUAAUUGGCGUCUGUACAAAUGAAAUCAGCUGAGAGUAUCUCAAUGAAGUUGUAGAAGAGAAAAAGCUUCACAGAAAUGUCUCUUGAAAAGCAUAAACACAAGAAAAAGCUUAGAAUCUGUAAACUGCUGCAACACCAAGGAAAACAGUGAUAGAAAGACGUAAGUCACUCAGCCUAAUCAUUCUUGCCCCAAGCCAUGAUGAACAGUAUGUCUGCAGUCACUUCAUCUAUGCCUAUGCACAGUCUAAACUUAACUCCAGUGACUAACGGGCAUCAAUAUCAGGCAUUAUUUUCUUUUCUCCUUUACAUUGCAAUUUCACUAUGGAAAGUAAUUAUCAAAAUAUUUCCUUAAUUCUUAACUUUAACUUGUGCUCUAACUUCAUAUUCAAAGGCUUCACCAUCACAGUCUUCUGCCUCCAAGCUUCCCUCUGUUCAUCUCAGCAAAUGGACUUGACAGUAAUGUGAAGAAGGAUAUAAAUAGGCUGGGAGGCCAGACUUGCAAUGAUCUCAAGAAGUACAGAAUACAGCUGUGACUACCAAAAAGAGAGCCUGUCCACUCACAUAGGAUAAUUAAAUGAACACACAAAAGUGAGGUGUCAGUCCUUAUGCAACGUUACAAUUUGUAGUUCCAGCUGAUCACAGACGCAUCAAGAAUCAGGACUAGAAUGCCACAGAAGAAAAAGCAAUGGCAAAAUGGUAUGCACAGAGGAAAAGCAGUACUUCUGCUCUUUGUACAAUAAUGAGUUCUCUGUAACAAAGUCUAACAAAGAACACAACAUUCCUGGAAUGACUUAAUUUAGAAAAGAGACCAAACUAUUUAAUUAGGUUUGUGUUUCCUUCCUGAAGGAUCUGCUUCUUACAGUGAAGUUAAGGCUCUGUGAAAAACCUUGAUAUGGGAAUUCCUUCAACUGCAGUCACUGGAUUAUAUGGCACAACAGGAAUAGAUGGUACUUGCACUCAUAUGGUUAUAUGGUCCAUCAGUAAACAAUGACGUGAUGUAACAUGCACGUCUUCUGUGAAAGACAUCUGCUCCAUCAAAGUGGCCACCUCCUGUUUCAGGGAGCAUAAGUAGUGACUUACUUACAGUUCCUGGAUGAAUCUGAAGUAGAUGAGCCCUCUGAACUCCACAGCACUAGCUUUUAAGAAAUGUUUAUGACCAAUGAAGUAGAAGACAUUGAACAUAGGAAGAGCUCAAGAAUCCAGACAUCUCCUUUGAGUUAAAUGGACAGAAGGCCAACUAUUACUUCUCUGCUUUCCCAGACUUAGGCAAAAUAAUAAUGCAACUGUGGCUAAAUUAAUGCUGAAAAUAAAUGCCAGCAUAAUAAGACAUAGGAUUAAUUAAAUCCUUUAUACUAGCAUGGCAGUAGAAUGGGAAUUGAGAAGUACUGUUAUUUGCACCAACAUACCUACCUAUCAAAGGUCUCUGAAAAAAAAACAAACAACCUGAGUCUUCUGAAAAUUUUGCAGAAUGUCAUGAAAACUCUCCUGCCAUGCCUGUGCAACACAGAUUCUGGUCUGUGGGCCACUAGAGCCACUGAGGCUCUGUGAUGGCAGACCACCAUCACCCUGUCUCUCUCUUCUCUUUGGCUGCUUUCAAGUGGCAUCAUGCCUGGCUAUAGAUAAGAUAAUAUCUAUAUAAGAUAGCAAAAAAUAUAAGAUAGCAAAAAAAGCACCUGGAACAGCCCGUAGUCACACUUGAGACUGUGCCUCACCUCUUCAUACUUUUCCUGAAGCACACCAUUUCUCACCCUGGGAAAUACCAUGUGACUGCAUAACAAAAAAAUGUGCACUUACUUAUAUUACUGUUGUGACAAAAGUCCGGUAAUAUUAAAACACAGAUAGGAUCUUUUAUUAGUAUCUUCACAGUUGUUUAGAAGGGCUAUACCGUGCAACCGUCCUAUAUAUAUGUGUGUGUGGGGGGGGGUAUUCUGUAUAUAUACAGAAAUAUAAAAUAUAUAUAUACAGAUACAUAAAAUAUAUGUAUAAGUACUCUUUAAAAUCCUGCAAUAAAAUAAGAUAGUAAAAACUAUGUUUGAGAAGCAUUGUGAAGUCCUUUUCAUCUUUAAUCACAACUGCCUUUCUAUAGUAAUUUAUUAAAAAUAGAUAAGAUAGCAAAAAAAGCAAUGGGUUGCACAGUGUAUAGAGCCCAUCUGAAUAAAUGUGAAAAUGUCAUUAUUGAGCAGAUGCCAUACAUGAAGCUCAAUGAAUUGUACUUUUUUAGUUAGUUAUAGAUGAAAAAAUUUACACAUGUUGAAACUGGUUCCCCCAGUUAGCUAUUUGAUAGUCACCUUUUUCACGUGCCAUGAGAAAUGGCUCCCCAUGUCUCCCCGUUUAUCACAUCCAUACACACAAAUUCUAUCAAUACAAUGUAAGAAAGAGAUUAUUGCACCACCGCAAGCGAGUUCUCAUAUCUUAAACAAGCAUCAUUUGUAGUGAGGUAAGAAUGCUUUCUUGCUCUCACUACUUUUUUGAUUUUCAGUUUCUAAGAUCAGCACAUCUCAACAGUCAUGGGCUUCAAGUUGGAUGUCUAUCAUUUUAAUCACCCAUUACAUGUGUACCAUUAACAUUUCUGACUACAUAAAAAGUCGGUUAUUUGCUUCAUCACUCUCCUAUUUUCACUCUCUCAAGCAGAAAUUAUCCAGAGGUUUUAACAUAUAUAAUGUUACUAUAAGAAGCUGUCCAACAGGAUGGAUGGUUCUAUGCUUUAGUCAUUUUUAAAAUCCAAGCCUUUCUGUAAGUGGAAACCACUUGGUUUUGAACAGAUAACAUUUAAAAACGUAAGCACACAUUUUAAUAAAUGAACAGUUUCCUUGCAGCCGGACCUGUACUGUGCAAACCGUGGGUGCAGUGCAAAAUGAGAUUUCGUCCUUUACAGAACGGCCAGAUACACUGCCUGUGACACCUCUGUGAGUACCAAGAACUUGUCUGCAUAAGAGGUAUUUAGGGUUGUCUCUCAUGAGAGUAGAAAGAGCAAACGUUUCAAAUGUAAUGGUGCUGCCAUUCUAGGUCUGCAGUGUCUGGAAGCACAGAGGUGAAUUAUGGCUGAGUCAGGAAGUCAGAGUUCUCUCUAAGGGCUCCCACUGCAGAGUGGCCCAUCUGCUUCCCACUCUUGUGAGCCAGGUGUUGAAUUUUCAAGAGGAGUUAUAACAUGGUAAAGAAAAAGCAACUGUUGCAGCCCAGAAGCAGAAAAAAACGCAUCUGAAGGUUAGUAAUGAAUGAGAAUAUGAACAUAAGCACUACUACAGUGCAGACAUGUAACACUGCCACUUAAAUAACUCAAUGCUGCCUAAUAAAAUCUCCAUGCUACGCUGCAACUUAUAAAAAAGGAAAUAAACAUUCCUGUUAUUCUUCCAGGUGUAUCUUUUCAGUUCUCCAGUGGAUAAAGGAAAUUAAUUAUUUUGAAAGUAAGUUGUUGUAACCUACGAAGUCUGUUUUCUCUUAACCUUUUUCUUCCAGACUAUUUCCUUAUGUGUACUGCAGGAAGGUUAUAGCAAUAAAACUCAAGUUAAUCCCAGCAGGUGGAGGUUAAAAGUCAAACAGAUAAUUCAGAAUUGGUGUUUUAUGUCUACAAUGCUGUAAUUUGUUGUGCAUUUAUUUCUCUUGUUCAAUUGUGUACUUAAAAAAAAAAAUUAAGUGCAGACCUUACCUUUUCAUUUUACGGUGCUGUACAGAAGCCCAUGGGCAGAGUGCUGAACAAAGUGUUACGUUUUCCAUAGGUAUUCCGUGUCAUAACAUCACACAAAACUGUCAGAGCUGGGAUGGCUGCCAGGAAGCUGCACUUCCCAAGUGGUUUCCAGGAGGCAAGGAGGUGACAUAACCAUGGCCUUACGUCCAGCUGUACCACCAUUUCCGCAGCACGGUUAGAAGGCAACUCUCCCUCUCAUUGGUUUAUUACUCUCGAUUCCUUUUAUAUUGUAUUAUCUCAAAUUCCUUCACUAUUUCUAGUAAAUUAGUUCCUUUUUAUAUUAUUAUUCCUUUAUUCCUUUUUUAUCUUUUUAUCCUUUACACUUCUUGGCCAGCUUACUGCAAGGGGAGGGGUGGGAGGAGGCCCUAGCCUUGAUGUAGGGACAAAGACCUUCAACCUGCAACAACAUGAGAUUUGUACCAGGGUAAUGCUACAGUGGGAAACAGGGCAGCUGCUGCUGGACGCUCUAUUGCAUGUGUCCUCACAACAGCAUCAUCAGUUGGAUUGUGAGAGCUUCCAACAACUUUCCUGCUGAAUUUCUAUCAUCUGGCUUGCCUGUGGUCCUACACAACCACUCUGCAUAAGCCACUGCUAUUAAUUAACCAAACUACGUGCAUCUUCUGUACGAGGUACAAAGACUGUCCUAAGUCACCGUUUCUGCAUCUGCAAGAGCAGUUCUUGCUGGCAGGUUACAGCUGUCUUCUGUGUACUGUUUCAUCAGUCUUACAGCAGGAGCUGCCUGAGGAGUCUGGACAGGCCAGACUCUCCAACAUGGCUGUUUAGCAACACGCAGGAGCUGGUUGGGGAAAUCUUAACAACACUGCAACUCCUACUCAGUGAGAUUCUGCACCACUUGACUGCAUCCUUAACGGAGAAAUUCAGCCCAUCACCUUGUUUUCAGUCAGUCCAUUGGUCCAAACCCAUCCAUUGUCUCUGGAUGCAGAUAACUUCCUGGAUCACCAGACAAUUAAAUGAAUUUACUAUCACAUUCUGUGAAUUGGAACUAUCAUGUUUUCCUAACAUUUUAAGUCUCUUUCAUAAUUCUGGAACGAUGUAAGGUAAUAGAGUACAUAGUAGGCUCUUUGCCAAAUGGAUGGCAUGUAUGAAAGCGCAGGAGAUACUUCUCCCUAUGGCUUCAAGGAGGUAUAAUCGUAUCAGGAGACAGAAAACAAGCUAAUAUAAAAUAAAUCAAUAAAGUUUUUGCUAUUGAUCAGGUAAGUUCUCGAAGGCAAAACAUCCCUUUUCUCAUCUUUUUCUUUGAAUUAAAAAUGCAAACUGCUGGAAUAGAACCAUUAGGAACUCUGACAGAGUUCCUCAAGCUAUGAAACAGAAGUCAGGACAAGGAAUGAGGGCUGGAGAAUGUUUUCUGUGCAAUUCUUUGUAUUCUAGCUGGCAAAACACUAUUAACUUGCAACCAGAUCACUCAGCAAUUCCCUUAAGCAUUUUCCUAGAGCUUUGUAACUGUCUAGGUAUUUUAUUGAUUCUGCAUCUGUUGCUGCAUACAGCCAUCCACAUGCAAGGACUGAUUACACACAGUAGGUAUUUCCUGAAUAUACCAUAAGCAUUGUAGACUACUGCUAUUUACACAGUUUUACUCAGGGGCUUUCAGGUAUUCGGAAAGUGUGACUCCUCAAUGGAUACUGAAGACAAUGAAAUACCUUUACCAGGUCCCAAGACUCACAGCUCACAUGCUUCCUGCUGAAUAGGCAUGAGAUACUACAUAAAGAUAGAAAAUAAAGUUGUACUCUACUGUGCAGUCUAUGCAUGUGUGAACACAGCUGUUGAAAGGUCUUUUAAUACAAUUAAGCUAAAAGCUGUAUCAACAACAUUACAGUUUUACUUCCUAACACUUAUUAUUACCUCAAAUCUUCUCAUUCUCCUUGACUAAAUUUUGGAAUCAUAGAAUGGUUUGGGCUGUAAGGGACAUUUAAGAUCAUCUAGUUCAAACCACCCUGCUAUAGGCAGGGAUACCUCUGACCAGACCAGGUUGCUCACAUAACUGUUUUGCAAAGGAAACAUUCAGAAAGAUCACAGGUUCUGAAAAUAGGAUGAAUGGAUUUUAAGUUGAAUGAUGUUAAGGACACAGAACGUAGAACUUUAAGAAUUUUUUUGAGUCACUGAGUUGGUUUUCUGGUAGCAGACUAUGUCUUAAAAUUGUAUCUUAUCAGUUUUAUAACUUUCAUCUUCAGAACACAAUGGCAGUUUUUGCCUGGUUCUGACACUGACAUUUAGAAAAGACAGGCAUGAAGCGGUACAGUCUACAUGCCACGCAUUAUAAAAUCAACAUAAUUGAUUGAGCCUGGAGAAGUAGCAAAAUCAGGAUUAUCAAUGAAAAUACAGACAAAUAAACCAGUCAUGAUAGGCUGCAAAACAGCAAUUGAAGAAAAUACAAUUCACCUUUCAGAAUUAUUUCAAUUAGCAGAAUCGUAUUCUAGGAUUUAUAUGAAUACUGUUCUCACGUUGUGGCUUUUUUUAUAACACUUUUACUGUUACAAAAUCAAAGAAAUAGAAGGAUAGAUAAGUAACGCACUUUGCAGUAAAAAAUAAUGUACUCAUCAAAAAUUUACAUUUUGUGCUAUAAAUGCACCUCGUACAUCUGCUGUGCCACUGUGACAGAUGUUUAUUAAUACAGAUCUUCAGUCAUAUUCCUAGACUGCUAGUGGUUCAGUAAUUCAUCUUAUAAAUACUGCCCAAGUUUCUGAUUAUAUGUUUAACCAAUUAUCAAAAUAUUUUCAUAUCAUCUUUGCAUCUCCAUGGCCUCAGAAAAGCACCACUGACUUGCAGUUUUGUUUUAAAUAUAAAAAUUAAAGUAAUAUAAAGUUCUAUCGCAGCAAUUCCUACAAGGAGUCUUGUUUAUAUGUAUGAAAAGACUUGAAGAAAUUUCUAAAAAACAACAGAAACGUACUCUGUGGUGAGAGUGAUCUCUUGAGAGAGUACGUUCUAUGGUAAGGCUGGUGGCCACUGAGCAGAUGACUGAGCUCAGUUCUUUCAAUUAUCCUCAGGAAGAUCAGUUCCUAAAUAUUACUUCCCUGCACUUUAGCAAAACAGACAUUUGUAUGCCUCACUACAUGCAACCUGAGAUCCACUGAAAAAGUACCCAGCUUCAAAGCGCUGUGCAAACUAAUCUCAGAUUUUCAGAAUAAAUACUUUACAUAAUUGAUAAAAAGUUUUAGAAACAGACUGUACUUUUUGGUGUACUCUUCUUGCAUCAAUUUGGUACUUGCACUUUUCAUGCUUGUAAAAAAAUGCAAGCAAACAAAUUCUUAUUUGUACCGUUCAUGACUUUCAGAGUCACGAAAGGCUCUACAGCACUGAAGGAAAAGGCUCAUGAUGCUCGCCUCCUUCCAAAUCUCCUACUUUUGUGAUGGGCUCUCUCCUCAUUGCUCAGAAAUACUUAGGCAAACAAUGUAGCAUAGAGAGCAUGUAAAUGAAAUCUUCGCGCUGUCAGCCUCAAGCAUUCCAGUAUCAGGAGACAAGAUCCAAAGUACCACAAGAGUGGAAUAAAGAUCAAGAUAUUUGAAAUAAUAAAUCUGAAGUUCUUCAUGUUUGCUUUCUGGUUACUAAGCCUUCAGGGUCACAUUUUCAGGAUUUGCUCAAUGGCCAUGAAACUUAUUUUAAAAAUACCGGAGGUGAAUUUCACCUACAAGAACAUAACACAAGUGCCAAGAUAUGAAAUAAUAUACAUCAAAAGAUUUCUAGUAAAAUCAUGAGUUGUCAGCACUGAGUUUUGGAGCCUAAGAAGACAGCGGAUAAAACAUGGAAGGCCUUAAUCCCUUUUCUACUCAUCAAACAUCAGUAAGAAAGCUCUCUUGCACACACACGGAAGUGAGAGAUAAGUGGCAGUAUGAGGGAAAAGACAUGGUUGGUCACUGGCUUGACUUCAUCACUGGUGCUGUUCCAGUAUACUGCAUAUUCCAGUACGAAAACCCCAAACGACUACAUUAAAUUGGAACUAUGAUCUGUUUUUAACUCUUUAGGGAAAAAAAAAAGUUGUUUUGAGCACAGGAUUACAAUUUGUCUAGCAAUUACCACAGGCCCACAUACAUUACAGAAGAGGCUUCACAACCCUUACUGCGAUGCAGCUAUGGCAAUGCUUGGCAUAGGUGAUGCAGCCAACAGGAAAAAUCAGCCAGUAAAACCAAUGAACAAAACUGACAAUGAACUACUGCUUAAUGCUACAUAGAAACCAAAAGCAUCAGUGUAAAUGGCCAAGUACUUUCUUACUUUUGAUACUAGCUUAUACAGCUUACCUUUAGCCUUAGGUAAAGAUGGUGAGCCAGACCCCAUUUCAGGACAGUAAGAGAGCUAGUGACAAAGUCAUCAGAGUGGAUGUGAGAAGCUGUCCUGAAUGGUGAAAAGCAAAGACUCCAUUCCUCUGCUUCCUCUGACACAACACAAAUCAGAAGCACACUAUGUGCAGGUAACCCAGAAUACCAUAUAUUCCAGGCAGUAAGCACCUGCGACAGCAUGCUCACAGCCUCUCCUUCCCCUCAAUACACACUCUCCUCCGAGAAACCAAGAAAGUAGGAUGUAAGCCCUAUUACUUGCCACUCAGGUAGGAAGAGGGACACACUGUUUGUGUCCUUGCAGCAGUGAACAACACUAAGUCACCAUUCCUUAUUACUUAAGAAUAAUUUUCCUCUCUCCUUCAAAAAAUAAUCAGAAAGGCAAUGAAGUUCUAGCUGCGUAAAAAAGAAAUGUUUACUGUAGGCAACGUGAAGAUGAGAAUGUGUUUAGCUCCCUUAAAGAGGGAGUAUUAGACCUUGUUCCAUCUUUGUUCUUUGCAGAACGGCCAUCCUUCUUUACUACUUUGAGACUUGCUUUGGUGUGUACCAAAGCUUAAAUUGGCUGUAACUGAUCAUGCACAGCUAAGAUGUACUGGACUUAUUUAAACUGUUGCUCAAUCAUAGCAUGGGAUACAACUCCUUCUUGCCCCUAAUGUGGGCCCUCAUCCCCUGUCCAAUUUGCCCUGGGGAAAGCAUUUCUUUUAGGGCAGGCAGUUACUUCUAAGUCCUAUUUCACUGCUCUGUAUCUUGAAUACAUUUCCUUUUGAUAUACUCUCAUUGUUCAGUCUAUUUCACUGCCAGUGGUGUUCAUAAAAAGGAAAAAUCAAUAUAGAGCAAAUUGUUUAAAAUAGGUAGCUAUACUCUAUAUUGGUCAGACUUUCUAAACCAUCUGCUGUUCUUCACAGCCAUCUGUAAGAUUUCCUCAUAUUUCCUCAUGUCAUGGAAUUGAAUUUCUCCUUCCUCAAAUAAUCACCAAAUUGUGACACUCAAGAAGUUACCUAAGGAUCCUGUUUUACACUUUUCUGCUGUAUUUAUGCUCUUAUGUGCUGCUCAAUAUGCUGAAUACAUGUGGACCUUCCAUUAAUCUAAUGACAACCUCAAUGACAACCUUAGCUUCUUCAUUUAAGGCAGUUCAGGUGCAGUUGUAGGGAUGAUCUCAAUAACAACAAAAUAAAUAUGACCAAGGCAGGUAUCUUCAAACAACAGCUCUUCAGUAAGCUUACCAUGGAACGAAGAUGCUCCCCUGAGCUUUGAGAUGCCUUCCAUUAAUUCUUACCUGUGCAGGUUAUACCCAUGUCACGUCUUCCCUCUGCCAUCACAGAUGACAAAGAACUACCGGAUGUGUUUGCUGUACUACUGGCUGACAUUAAGGACAAAACUCUCAGGUGACCUUAACAAUUCAGGAUUGAGACAAGUAUGCAAAAAUAAGGUGAACAAAGAUCUUAUGUUUGCAAUCUUUGAUGCAGAGUUUUCUACCUUUGCCAUCUUCUACACACCUAGGCAAACAGCCCAGAUGCAAUCUGUCAGUAAAGAAUUCAUGGCAUUACUGCCGUUGGGCGUGCACUUAAAUAAGACUACAUUUGCGUGACUUGGAUAUUCCCAAAUACUUGUUAAAAUAUUUACUCGCACUGAAGUCACAUAUCCUCCUAAUUCCCAGACAACGACCUCCAAGCAGUCAACUAGCUGACACAGUAGUGUGAACACAGCCUCAGUAGAAUGACAACAACUGAUGGCCAUCUAGCUUACAAAAACUCUAGUGCUACAAUCAAGUCCACCCAAAAGCAAGCUUUAUCCAUCAUUUCUCAUUUAACCUUCUUUCAAGCAAACCAGAUGACGUGUCCCUACACAAAACACAGGACAUGACAAGGAAAAUGCCACCUUUAUACUAAGAAUGCUGAAAUCUUCUCUCAGCAAGCAUCAGGGCAGUCAGGAGUUUGGGCUAGAGGCUUAGUAUGGACAUACCUUCUUCUGCCCUGACGUGUGAAGUGUCACGAGUUUAAUGGGACACAGAGGCCAAGCUAUCCACUGACCUUCACAAACAGCUGUGGUACAUCAGGAUUGAGAUAGAGAACAAAUGCCACUAUCAGGGUCAUUUUACAGAGAAAAAAUCAUAAACCCCGAGGGUACCAAAACAGCAUCCUCUGAAGGCACUGAACAGAGAAUGUGUUUAAACAUGCUGUACGCUGCUGAAGAAAAAAAGUGUCAAAACUACUGCUAGGCUGUGAGAGCCCCAAAGGUCCUGGUUUAACAGAAAAGUUGCAACAGACUCCAGUCCUAUUUUUAGCAGAAAAACACAGCAAUUGAAUACUGUUUCUGCUGUUCAGCUUGCUCCCAAGGUGAGCAUUUCUGAAUAGCUUUUCUUGCAAGUACACACAUUCAAAAAAGAAAGUAAACUACAACAGUAAUAAAUAAAAUGAAGUAUACAGAAAAUACAGUAAGGAUGGGUUUAGUCCUGCAGCUUCUGGAAAGAACUGUAUUUUACUGAUUGCCAACCCCCCAUCCUGGGCUUGACUCUUUACUAUAAAGAAACCAAAGGUUUCUCAUGGACUGAUCAUGCCGAAGAAAGUAAACUUUUGGUACAGUGAAGAGGCAGAGGACAGAUUAUAUAGGUGAACUGGUUUUAUGAAGCUGAAGGCUUUAUCUCUCUGCAAGGUUUAGAGAUCUGCAACCUCUAAGCAAGGUUUCAUCUGCACAGCAAUGAGUGUGACUUUAGUAAGUACUACAGUGCUGUCAAACAAAUGGUCUGUAACCCAGUUCAGGGAAGAGGGAAAAGUAACAGCAGAACAAUUGUUAGGAAAGACCAGGUUCAUACAUUGAAUGUUCUAACCAUACUUCCCCCCUUCACACUGUAAUUUAUUUCUGAUAUAACACAGAAUCAAAUCCGGGCACGCAAUUUAGGGGAGCUCUAAUUUGGAUACAGCUGGAUACCCCUAGAAAACUUGCUUUUUAGGGUAAGCACAUUAGAAAAUGUGACUUACUCCUUCAAAGACAUGUUAAACUCUUAUAGAGAAACCUUGAAAAACAUUUUAAAAGUUCAAGUCCUUUCCACCUGGCACCAUCUUUAUCAAAAUAUGAAAAUGUGAAUAUUUGCUUGAUUUGAAAUCACGUUUGUAAGAGCAGUCUGCCUGUUCUAUUCUUUGCUAGUUCACCAUGUACACUGUGAACACUUGCUGGACCACGAAGGGGCUUCUUGACAACUGCAUUCUGGUUAACCUAUCCUCUCCAUACUCCUACGAGUUUCUUCCUCUCUGUGCAUCUACCUUCCUUUUUCUGUACCAUUUGCUAGCUUCUCCAGUUUAAAUCUCUUUUUCUGUGGGGGAGCUUCAUGGCACUCCUCAGUACAACGGCUGGAAUGAGGGGGAAAAGCCCUUCUAGAGUUUCCUUUCUCUGCAUUUCUAUCCAAGACAGUAAAAGGAAAUUACUACUUCAUAAUGCAUCUUUUAAGAGUUUUAAUUUCUGACAGUAUGGAACAGAAGAAUGUGGAAGAACACUUUCCGUUUAUUUCCUUUUUCAUCAGACUGCCCACCUGCCACCUCACUAAAAUCAAGGCAGCAUUCUGUAUUUGUCUGGAUCUAUCACUUCCUGAUAAUCAACAAGCAAACCUGUGAAGAGUACCCAUGAAUUGUGGUGGCCAGCAUUGCUAAGUCUACACAGUUUCAACAGCAUUCCCUUUUACUUUGUAAAAUAACAUCUCACUGACCUGCUUAUUUUCUAUUGAACAAUGUGCAACUACUGCUGGGCCUCUUAGUUUGAACAGUCAGUGUUGAUUUUUAUGUACCCACAGAGGGUAAUAUCUGUACUAUCAAUUUUGCCAGCUCUGCUUUGACACUUAAACUCUAUGCUAGUAUUUCAUCAACAGAAGACAGAUCAACAGUACAGUAACUGCAUAAAUCAUCUCUUUUCAUCCUUGGACAAUAAGCAGUCAAAAGAAAUGCUGGUAUACAUCAUACUCUGGAUGUGACUGAUCUCUUGUAUGAGUGGGCAGAACUUUCCAUUGAAUCAGCAAUGAGUUCAGCAAAAAAGAAGUAGUGAUAUUUUAUGUCAACUUUGCGGUCAGCACUAAUUCACUGAUGUGCUUAUGCUUCCAGUGAAGGGGUUGGUAAUUGCGGAAGUUUCUAUUCUUUAUUUCAUGGAAACCUUCCAAAAGUUUUGCUUCUCAUUUCUGCUGAUUAAUUCAGAAAGAACCUGAACAUAUGGUGUUACAGCAAGAAAUAUAUACAGCAUGUGCAAAAUAUAGCAAAUAAAUUCCAUAAAAAUAGGUCUGCAUUGUAAAGGAGAAAAGUUAGGAGAGGUGCUUUGCCUUUUUUAAUGACUAUUUCUUUAUUUCUCAAAGAGACUUUGCCUGGUAUUUUUAUCAAACAACAGCUUGAGCAAAAUAAACAGACAAGUCUUGCAUCAAGCCAAGAAAGUGGAAGGUGACCAUGGGUGGAAACCGAGCUGUCCCAGUCAGAUUGCUGGCUAACCCCAAAGAAGCCUGUAACAACAGAUAGCUAGCUAUAAGCUCUGUAUGGCACCUCUGGGGUGCUUUCCUCCCUCCUGCUAGAGAGCUAAUGCUGCCUCUGCCCAUCCCUGCCACAUGGUAAAUGCCCACAGUGUACGAGGGGGCACUACACUCAGCCUUGUGCUCAGCCUAAUGCUGCUUAUACAGAUGUAGUUCUUCUACGGUCUGUGACUCACAAAGGGGACUGUUCUGCCACAGGCUUCCUGGGUAAGAAAAUUGGCUUGGAGGCAGUUAAAUUACUGUCUGAAGCACUGUUGCUUUGGACUUACACCUCUGCUAGCAGGACCUAACACUUGGGAGUCCUGAACUCGCUUUGCUGUUUGAAUGUAGCAGUCCUUAAAGCUGAAGUUGUAUUUUGCUGUCAUGUAUUUUGCCUCUGUAGUUCAUCUUAUUCUAGUCCUAGGUGGAUUUUAUAAAGAUGAGUAUAAAGACAAAUAUAACUGCCUUAUUCCCUAUUUUAAGUUACGUUUUGCUAUGUUAUACUUAAGAGAUACUCAGAGGUCUUAAAGCAUAUUAAAGAUUUCCCAUUAGUA